GCUCUGGGAUAGCUCAGAUGGUAGAGCACGAGACUCUUAAUCUCACGGUUGUUGUGGGUUCAAGCCCCACGUUGGGCA